AUUGAACGCUGGCGGCAGGCUUAACACAUGCAAGUCGAACGAGUGGCGGACGGGUGAGUAAUGUCUGGGAAUCUGCCUGAUGGAGGGGGAUAACUACUGGAAACGGUAGCUAAUACCGCAUACCAUCAGAUGUACCCAUAUGGGAUUAGCUAGUAGGUGGGGUAACGGCUCACCUAGGCGACGAUCCCUAGCUGGUCUGAGAGGAUGAACAGCAACACGGGAACUGAGACACGGUCCAGACUCCUACGGGAGGAAGCAGUGGGGAAUAUUGCACAAUGGGCGCAAGCCUGAUGCAGCCAUGCCGCGUGUGUGAAGAAGGCCUUAGGGUUGUAAAGUACUUUCAGCGAGGAGGCGUUACUCGCAGAAGAAGCACCGGCUAACUCCGUGCCAGCAGCCGCGGUAAUAC
rnacentral:rRNA from 1 species